CUUUCUCUUAUCUUUAGUUGAAUUUCAGAUUUUAAUGAUAAAUGUGAAUAAAACUGAACCUUUAUGAUAUCAAGAAUGUAGAGUGAUCUAGAAUUAUUCAAAAUUUAUAGCAAUCACUCUUUUUAAUCUUUUAAGAACAAGUUAUGCUUCCUCUUAAUCUUUGAGAAAAUGUACUGAAAUAUUAAUCAGAAAAUGAUUCAUUUGAAGCUCAAAUUCUUUCAAAAACAUUUACAUUUUCUUUCUUUUAAGAAUCAUUUGAGUGAGCUGAAAUAUUUCUAGACUUGAGAUCAUUCACUCUUUUAAUAAUAUAUAUACAUAUAUAUUUUGAUAAAAGUCUUUAACAAUGUAGGAGAGGAAAAAAUAUAUAGAUGAUCAUUGAAGUAUAUGUAUUUAUAGAACUCAAUUUCUUAAUCAAGGUUUUUCAGCAAUAUAAUAUAUGAAGCACAAUAAAUCUUUUCAAUAUCAAAAUAAAAUCAUAUAUUAAAAAUAUUUGUUUGCAAUCAAGAUCAUCAAAAGACACAUCAUUCAGACCAAUAUUAGUACACUUUGAAGAUAAGAAAUGAUAUGUUUCAGAUGCGUAUCGGGGCAAGCAAUCAAGGCAUCAGAAUUAUUCUAUUUUUCUAAGCUGUAAUU
rnacentral:lncRNA from 1 species